CACGUAGGAGGCAAGCGUUAUCCGGAUUUACUGGGCGUAAAGCGCGUGCAGGCGGUUUGGUUAGUUGGAUGUGAAAUCUCCUGGCUCAACUGGGAGAGGUCGUUCAAUACUGCCAGACUAGAGGACGGUAGAGGAAGGUAGAAUUCCCGGUGUAGUGGUGAAAUGCGUAGAUAUCGGGAGGAAUACCAGUGGCGAAGGCGGCCUUCUGGGCCGUUCCUGACGCUCAGACGCGAAAGCGUGGGUAGCGAACGGGAUUAGAAACCCCCGUAGUCC
rnacentral:rRNA from 1 species